rnacentral:rRNA from 1 species
GUGAAAGAGGAGCUUGCUCCUCUGGAUCAGUGGCGAACGGGUGAGUAACACGUGAGUAACCUGCCCUUGACUCUGGGAUAAGCUCGGGAAACGACGUCUAAUACCGGAUAUGACCCGUGGAGGCAUCUCCAGGGGGUGGAAAGAACUUCGGUCAAGGAUGGACUCGCGGCCUAUCAGGUAGUUGGUGAGGUAACGGCUCACCAAGCCGACGACGGGUAGCCGGCCUGAGAGGGUGACCGGCCACACUGGGACUGAAGACACGGCCCAGACUCCUACGGGAGGCAGCAGUGGGGAAUAUUGCACAAUGGGCGCAACUGNAUGCAGCAACGCCGCCUGAGGGACGACGGCCUUCGGGUUUGUAAACCUCUUUUAGUAGGUAAGAAGCGAAAGUGACGGUACCUGCAGUAAAAAGCACCGGCUAACUACGUGCCAUCAGCCGCGGUAAUACGUAGGGUGCAAGCGUUGUCCGGAAUUAUUGGGCGUAAAGAGCUCGUAGGCGGUUUGUCGCGUGCUGCUGUGAAAACGCCGAGGCUCAACCUCGCGCCUGUAGUUGGGUACGGGCAGACUAUAGUGCGGUACGGGGAGAUUUGGAAUUCCUGGUGUACGCGGGUGGAAUUCGCACAAUAUCAGGAGG